rnacentral:rRNA from 1 species
GAACGCUGGCGGAAUGCUUUACACAUGCAAGUCGAACGGUAGAGGGGGCAACCCCUUGAGAGUGGCGAACGGGUGAGUAAUAUAUCGGAACGUGCCCAGUCGUGGGGGAUAACGUAGCGAAAGUUACACUAAUACCGCAUACGAUCUAAGGAUGAAAGCGGGGGAUCGCAAGACCUCGCGCGACUGGAGCGGCCGAUAUCAGAUUAGGUAGUUGGUAGGGUAAAGGCCUACCAAGCCAACGAUCUGUAGCUGGUCUGAGAGGACGACCAGCCACACUGGAACUGAGACACGGUCCAGACUCCUACGGGAGGCAGCAGUGGGGAAUUUUGGACAAUGGGCGAAAGCCUGAUCCAGCCAUUCCGCGUGCAGGAUGAAGGCCCUCGGGUUGUAAACUGCUUUUGUACAGAACGAAAAGGUUUCUGCUAAUACUAGGAGCUCAUGACGGUACUGUAAGAAUAAGCACCGACUAACUACGUGCCAGCAGCCCGCGGUAAUACGUAGGGUGCAAGCGUUAAUCGGAAUUACUGGGCGUAAAGCGUGCGCAGGCGGUUAUAUAAGUCAGAUGUGAAAUCCCCGGGCUCAACCUGGGAACUGCAUUUGAGACUGUAUAGCUAGAGUACCGUAGAAGGGGAUGGAAUUCCGCGUGUAGCAGUGAAAUGCGUAGAUAUGCGGAGGAACACCGAUGCGAAGCAAUCCCCUGACCUGUACUUGACGCUCAUGCACGAAAGCGUGGGAGCAACAGGAUUAGAU